rnacentral:lncRNA from 1 species
AUGAAGACCGACAUGAAGACCGACAUGAAGACCGCCGCGGUCCUGCUGCUGCUGGCGUCCGUCCACGUCUUCUCAGUUUCCUCAGACCAAACGCAAACAGAGACACCAAAAUCCCAAAUACUUCCACAAGCAUCAGAACCACUAAAAUCCACUUCAGCCACGGUUCAGCCCAGCAGCACCAGAGGCGCUGGGUCCGCUGCAUCGGGUUCCACUUUAAGCCCAGGCCACCAUGGACCAACCGACGCGCCCAGCAGCGCCACAACAGAGACCAAACCAGAAUCCAACCUUCCCGUAGGAACCCCUGUAACCAGUGCUCCCAGCAACAAUAACUCAGCUGAUACUGAUGGCAAUGUGACACUGAACAGUACGAACCUGCCAAAGCCAGUAGGCACCUCAGAGACCCCACGGCCUCCAGGACCAGCAGGCACACCAGCAAAACCAGCAGCACCAGCAGCACCAGCAGCACCAGCAAAACCAGCAGCACCAGCAGCACCAGCAGCACCAGCCACACCAGCAAAACCAGCAGCAUCAGCAGCACCAGCCACACCAGCAAAACCAGCAAAACCAGUAGGCACAACUGCAGCACCAGCAGCCAAACCAGCAGCACCAGCAGCCAAACCAGCAGCACCAGCAGCCAAACCAGCAGCACCAGCAGCCAAACCAGCAGGUGAGAAGUCCUCUGUUUAAGCAGCGUGUCGUCAGCAUAACAGAGCAUCGCUCCUGCUCGUUCUAACACCAACGUGUGUUUAUCGUCUGCAGACACAUCUUCGGUCGCUACAGGUACAGAACCUUCAGUGUUCAUCAUCAAAGGCCGAGUCGUUAAAGUGUGAGUACUGAUCUGUUUGUCGUUUCUUUCAAUGUCAUCAAUGGAUUAACUGGAAUGAUGGCACUGCCAGACGUUGGCCAAGAAAGUGUUGAAGGGACAAAGUCUG